rnacentral:rRNA from 1 species
GGAGAGGGAGCCUGAGAAACAGCUACCACAUCUAAGGAAGGCAGCAGGCGCGUAAAUUACCCACUCCCAGCUCGGGGAGGUAGUGACGAAAAAUAACAAUACAGGACUCAUAUCCGAGGCCCUGUAAUUGGAAUGAGUACACUUUAAAUUCUUUAACGAGGACCCAUUGGAGGGCAAGUCUGGUGCCAGCCGCCGCGGUAAUUCCAGCUCCAAUAGCGUAUAUUAAAGUUGUUGCGGUUAAAACGUUCGUAGUUGAAUUUGUGCUUCAUGCAGGUAGUACAACUAUAAUUGUAGCUUGUACAUUACCUUAUGCAUGUAAGCGUAUUAUCGGUGGAGUUCUAAUAUUUUUAUAGUAGUGAAAAUUUUUACUAUUAUAAUAUAUACCUCCUAUUUGAAACCUAUUUCAGUGCUCUUUAUCGAGUGUUGUUUUAGGCCGAUACAAUUACUUUGAACAAAUUAGAGUGCUUAAAGCAGGCUUAUAAUGCCUGAAUAUUCUGUGCAUGGAAUAAUGAAAUAAGACCUCUGUUCUACUUUCAUUGGUUUUUAGAUCAAGAGGUAAUGAUUAAUAGAAGCAGAUUGGGGGCAUUAGUAUUACGACGCGAGAGGUGAAAUUCUUGGACCGUCGUAAGACUAACUUAAGCGAAAGCAUUUGCCAAAGAUGUUUUCAUUAAUCAAGAACGAAAGUUAGAGGUUC